rnacentral:rRNA from 1 species
UAAGGAAUAUUGCUCAAUGGGAGAAAUCCUGAAGCAGCAACGCCGCGUGGAGGAUGAAGGGUCUAUGACUUGUAAACUCCUGUAAAGAAGGAAAAAAUUCCCAUUUGAUGGGAGAUGAUGGUACUUCUGGAGUAAGCCCCGGCUAACUACGUGCCAGCAGCCGCGGUAAUACGUAGGGGGCAAGCGUUGUCCGGAUUUACUGGGUGUAAAGGGUGCUCAGGCGGAUUUGUAAGUCAGAGGUGAAAUCUUACAGCUUAACUGUGAAACUGCCUUUNAUACUGCAAGCCUAGAGUAUGGAAGAGAGUGAUGGAAUAUCUGGUGUAGCAGUGAAAUGCGUAGAUAUCAGAUAGAACACCAAUGGCGAAGGCAGUCACUUGGUCCAUUACUGACGCUAAAGCACGAAAGCGUGGGUAGCAAAC